AGGAUUAUAGUUUAAAUAAAACAUUUGAUUUGCAUUCAAAAAAUAUUAAUCAAUUAUUAAUUUAUCUUA
rnacentral:tRNA from 1 species